rnacentral:rRNA from 1 species
UAGCGGCGAGUGAAGCGGCAAGAGCUCAGAUUUGAAAUCGUGCUAAUUUUUUUGGCACGAGUUGUAGAGUGUAGGCGGGAGUCUUUGUGGAGCACGGUGUCCAAGUCCCUUGGAACAGGGCGCCUGAGAGGGUGAGAGCCCCGUGGGGUGCCGUGCGAAGCUCUGAGGCCCUGCUGACGAGUCGAGUUGUUUGGGAAUGCAGCUCCAAGUGGGUGGUAAAUUCCAUCUAAGGCUAAAUACUGGCGAGAGACCGAUAGCGAACAAGUACUGUGAAGGAAAGAUGAAAAGCACUUUGAAAAGAGAGUGAAACAGCACGUGAAAUUGUUGAAAGGGAAGGGUAUUGGGCCCGACAUGGGGAGUGCGCACCGCUGUCUCUUGUAGGCGGCGCUCUGGGCGCUCUCUGGGCCAGCAUCGGUUCUUGCUGCGGGAGAAUGGGUGCCGGAAAGUGGCUCUUCGGAGUGUUAUAGCCGGCGCCAGAUACCGCGUGCGGGGACCGAGGACUGCGGCUUCUGUCUCGGAUGCUGGCACAACGGCGCAAUACCGCCCGUCUU